ACCUUAGAGACCAACUAAGUUUGUUCUUGGUAUAAGCUUUCGUGCAUGCACAGGAAAGCUUACACCAAGAACAAACUUAGUUGGUUGCUAAGGU